rnacentral:lncRNA from 1 species
CAUGCACAAGAUGAGAAACAGGAAAAAAGCUGAUAUGAAGUACAAAAUAUAUGCAAAUUUAUUUUACAUGUUAAGCCACAGGAAGAAGCAGAGAAACUAAUAGCAAAUACAGAGGUGGGGAAAACUACAGGUGCCAACAAUAACAAAAUACAGAAUUCAUCUUCUACAAUAUCCUCAAAUUGCAAACUCAGAUAAGACAGAAGAUCCUAAAAUGCUUCCAAGGAACUGUCCAUAACUGAAAAUCAGUAAUGCUGACAGACACUGUUAAGUUGGUUUCACUUUCAGAGAUUUUGGGAGAAACUUAUAUUCCACCUGGAUCUUUGGAACAUGUGUGGUGACUUGUGGGCAUUUCUCAGCUUCUGAAGGGGAGACCAGUUAUAGCAAGCCCCAAGCAGAACUAAUAGUCAUGGUUCUAGCAUUGCCUACACUUAAGAUGUUUGACUUCAAAAUUAAAAAUCCUUCUCCUCCUCCAUAGGAAGUUCAUCCUUUCCCCAUCAAACAAAACUGAAACCAUAACAGCCGCAAAGGCAGCCAGGGAAAAGACACCCAAGAAAGCAAAACAAAACAUGUUUGGAUAUGUCAACACUCCAAAAGCUGUAGCAGCAUCACCGCUCAACAGCAACGAAUCAGAACGUAUAGGACAAAGUGAGCCAAACUCUUUGCCAUGUGAUUUGCUCCCGAACAGCAGAGAUGUGCACCAGCAACGUGCCCAUGCAGGACCUGCCUCCCACAGUGUGUGCCACAACUGGGGAGCACUUGAGCCCAGUUCUUACUUCGUAGAGAUCUCCUUGGUGGCAAGACCAGGAUCAGAAGCAACUUUGAAGCUUUCUGACAAGCCAGAUGUAGAACUAACGCCGCGUUGUUUCUGUUGUUGCGGAUACGGAGGUGCCACCCCUGAGCCCGGGGCCGUGCGGGCGGCUGCGGAAAUACGAGAGCUGCGUGACGGCGGGCACGGCGUCCCUGCUGCCUCCGGGGCGGUGGGAAACCUGUGCCGAAAUCUGCUGUUAAGUGCAGAGAAGCAGCCUGGUUCUCCUCCUAUCCACCGUCUACAUCCAGUGCACUUCUUCGGCAGCGGGCACGGAGUGGGAAAGAGCUGGUUGAGAGCCUCGUUUGUCGUUCCGUAGGGCUGACUGAAAGCUUUUGCACUCAGAGCCGUUGUUAGGUGCAGCUCCAGCAGCUGCAGUGUUUUUGUGAAAGCUUUGUGGAAGUUUCUAUUGCAGGCCUUCUCAAUUGCACGUGCUCAUGUUAUGUACUCUUGAUUUUGUAUCGAAAGAGCUUACUUCCUUGCAUUUAAAUAAAUCAUUGUAAAUACAGUGCA